AAAGAUCGCAGCCUUCGGCAGCUCCUACAGGAGUACGCAUUCCCUUGUAGGAGCUGCCGAAGGCUGCGAUCUUU
rnacentral:misc_RNA from 1 species